GGGACUUGCAAGACUUAGAAGUUGCUGACAUUGUUUGCAAAUCCUAGCUGUUCUCUGGUAGACAGCAUUGAGCAUUUCCUGAAAACCUCAGCUUAGUAGUGAUUAAAGGGACAUGCAGCAUAACUUGAGUUAUAGAUAAAACCACUAGGUAAAAGCCACUUACGGCCACUUCACAAAAAGUCACAGAAUAGGCACACAGAUCUCAAACAAAUGCUUAUACAUUGAGUGAGACAUUGCUCUUUCUGAUUACAUAUUUGAGCAUUGUGGUGCAUUUACAGCUGUAGCGAUUUUUACAAAGAGGUGUAGACUGCUACAAGUUCUAAGCCAAAGAGAAACCUCCUUGCAACUUAAAGAACCAGUAUAGUGCCAGGAAAACAAACUCGUUUUCCUGGCACUAUAGGGUCUUUGGGUCCAAGCCCACCCGCUGGGCUGAAGGGGGGAAGGGGUUAUAUUCUUACCUUUCUCCAGUGCCGGGCUCCCUCAGAGCUGGGGCCUCUCCUCCCUCUUCUGACGUCAUCUGCCGAAUGCACAUGCGCAUUCAAUCAGUGCAUAGGAAAGCAUUUCUCAAUGCUUUCCCAUUGGACGUUGUCGUCUUCUUACUGUGAAAAUCACAGUGAGAAGUGCGGAAGCGCCUGUAGCGGCUGUCAUUGAGACAGCCACUAGAGGCUGGAUUAACC